rnacentral:rRNA from 1 species
AUACGGAGGGUGCAAGCGUUAAUCGGAAUUACUGGGCGUAAAGCGUACGUAGGCGGUUAUUUAAGUCAGAUGUGAAAGCCCCGGGCUUAACUUGGGAACUGCAUUUGAAACUGGGUAACUAGAGUUUAGUAGAGGGGAGUGGAAUUUCAGGUGUAGCGGUGAAAUGCGUAGAGAUCUGAAGGAACACCAGUGGCGAAGGCGACUCCCUGGACUAAAACUGACGCUGAGGUACGAAAGCGUGGGUAGCAAACAGAAUUAGAAACCCCAGUAGUCC